rnacentral:misc_RNA from 1 species
ACACCUCAACUCCCGUGGUUUGCCAUGGUGAGCUUGGACUUUGGAGGUUUUGCUGGCCCAUGGUCAGCUCCUCUCAAAUGAAUUAGCCUGCCAGUGUUUGGUGGCAUCACAGGUGUGAUAAAUAUCUACGCUUGCGAUUGCCCACCAGGUAACCUUCAGCAAUGGGGGUUCGCUGGGGCUCAUAGACGUCUCUCCCUCGGCGAGGACAGUUUUUUUAACGU